rnacentral:siRNA from 1 species
AGGUGAAUCAACAUUUUCUUGUCA